rnacentral:lncRNA from 1 species
UGUCGUUUGUUGAUGGGGUCGUUUUUAUAUAGAUUAGACCGUUUGUUUUUCUGUUCAAGUGGUAUUGCACUAGUCAAUUUUGGGACCAUACAUAGCUGGCUGUUCGGUGUCAGUUUGAGCCCAGGUUCCGUGUUGAAGAACAUACUUUGACCUAUAAAAGUUUUCUUUUACAAAUUGUGACUUGGAUGGAACGUAGUCUCAUUGGCACUCA